GUGUGGUGGUGUUUGUGGUGCUGGGAACGAGCCCAGGUCCUGGCCCAUGGAAGGCAACCGAGCCACACCAAAGGCCCCUGAGGACAUUGUCAAUCACCUGUUUUCCUUGCACAUUGAGGGGUGAGACAGAAGAGACCCCACUUCCUGACCCCCGCCCUUUGUGCCCUACAGCCCCUGGAUCCGAGAGGAGCUGCCCUCGCUGCCGCCUUCCUCCCAGGCCCCUCCGCGGUGGGCCUGAGCCCAGCUGAAGAUGCCUGCAAACCCCUCGCGCCCUCUGAACCCCGCCUUUGCCCCAGGGUGGCUCCAUCACCCUCUAGAAUUUCCUUGUGUGGGCUACACACACAUACACACCAGGCCUCCCACAGAGA